UGAGGAAUAUUGGUCAAUGGACGAGAGUCUGAACCAGCCAAGUAGCGUGAAGGAUGACUGCCCUAUGGGUUGUAAACUUCUUCUAUAUGGGAAUAAAGUAUUCCACGUGUGGGAUUUUGUAUGUACCAUAUGAAUAAGGAUCGGCUAACUCCGUGCCAGCAGCCGCGGUAAUACGGAGGAUCCGAGCGUUAUCCGGAUUUAUUGGGUUUAAAGGGAGCGUAGGUGGAUUGUUAAGUCAGUUGUGAAAGUUUGCGGCUCAACCGUAAAAUUGCAGUUGAAACUGGCAGUCUUGAGUACAGUAGAGGUGGGCGGAAUUCGUGGUGUAGCGGUGAAAUGCUUAGAUAUCACGAAGAACUCCGAUUGCGAAGGCAGCUCACUAGACUGCAACUGACACUGAUGCUCGAAAGUGUGGGUAUCAAACAGG
rnacentral:rRNA from 1 species